AUUGAACGCUGGCGGCAGGCCUAACACAUGCAAGUCGAACGAGUGGCGGACGGGUGAGUAAUGUAUGGGGAACUGCCCGAUGGAGGGGGAUAACUACUGGAAACGGUGGCUAAUACCGCAUACCGUCGGAUGAGCCCAUAUGGGAUUAGCUAGUAGGUGAGGUAAUGGCUUACCUAGGCGACGAUCCCUAGCUGGUCUGAGAGGAUGACCAGCCACACUGGGACUGAGACACGGUCCAGACUCCUACGGGAGGCAGCAGUGGGGAAUAUUGCACAAUGGGCGCAAGCCUGAUGCAGCCAUGCCGCGUGUAUGAAGAAGGCCUUAGGGUUGUAAAGUACUUUCAGUGGGGAGGCGUUACCGACAGAAGAAGCACCGGCUAACUCCGUGCCAGCCGCCGCGGUAAUUC
rnacentral:rRNA from 1 species